UCCACGUUGGAUUUUACUUUAAUUUUUGGUUUGUAUAUCUCUGUCAUUGAAUGUUUUAUUAGGAUAUUUUCUUUAAUUAUUAAUUUGGUUAAUGUCAGGUCAAGGUGCAGUUAUAUUAAAGGUUGAAAUGGGUUACAUUUAAGGUUUAUUUAUUGGUUAAAUAUCAGUUGUAAUAUUUAUUUAUUAAAAAGGAUUUGAAAGUAAUUUUUAUUAGUUUAUAAAAAUGAUUUUAGCUCUAAAUUAUGUACACA
rnacentral:rRNA from 1 species